GCCCGGGUGGCGGAACUGGUAGACGCACUGGACUCAAAAUCCAGCGGUAGCAAUACUGUAUCGGUUCGAUUCCGAUCCCGGGCA
rnacentral:tRNA from 1 species